GGGGCGCACGUGUCGCGGGAAAUGGAGUGGACACCGGGGGCUUCAGGGGAAGACAUCCAAACGACCGGGAGUCACGCGUGGACUCUUUCGCGCGAGGUUACCAAGCAUGUCCUGAAGAUGAAGAUACUCUCAGCCUAACGUCUCCAAGCAAAUAUUGAUUCAGCAGUAUCCCCAGGCAAAGCCACACCAUAUAUCAGUGAACAGAGAAACAACUGCCCUUCUCCGGGCCCCUGUCUGAGAAGCUGGAGCAUCAGCCCUGGAGCUCUCCGGAGCAGUUUCCUUGCUCACUGUCCCCAGCUGAACACAGCCGCAUGCAGAGGUCCAAAGCACGUAAACAGGAUACCCACCCUGCAUUAUCUUAUAUUUUAAGUCAAUAUGAAGAUGGACAUUCUACCCCUGAGACCAAUUUCGAUCAAAUACUUUUGUCAAUAAAAAGAUACUAAUGUC
ensembl:lincRNA Gm2694 predicted gene 2694